AAUGGGGGGAACCCUGAUCCAGCCAUGCCGCGUGUGUGAAGAAGGCCUUUUGGUUGUAAAGCACUUUAAGCGAGGAGGAGGCUACCCUAGUUAAUACCUAGGGAUAGUGGACGUUACUCGCAGAAUAAGCACCGGCUAACUCUGUGCCAGCAGCCGCGGUAAUACAGAGGGUGCGAGCGUUAAUCGGAUUUACUGGGCGUAAAGCGUGCGUAGGCGGCUUUUUAAGUCGGAUGUGAAAUCCCUGAGCUUAACUUAGGAAUUGCAUUCGAUACUGGGAAGCUAGAGUAUGGGAGAGGAUGGUAGAAUUCCAGGUGUAGCGGUGAAAUGCGUAGAGAUCUGGAGGAAUACCGAUGGCGAAGGCAGCCAUCUGGCCUAAUACUGACGCUGAGGUACGAAAGCAUGGGGAGCAAACAGGAUUAGAUACCCUGGUAGUCCAUGCCGUAAACGAUGUCUACUAGCCGUUGGGGCCUUUGAGGCUUUAGUGGCGCAGCUAACGCGAUAAGUAGACCGCCUGGGGAG
rnacentral:rRNA from 1 species